rnacentral:rRNA from 1 species
GACGAACGCUGGCGGCGUGCCUAAUACAUGCAAGUAGGACGCAGUUGCGAACGGGUGCGUAACGCGUAGGUAACUACCUAUUAGAGGGGGAUAACUAUUGGAAACGAUAGCUAAUACCGCAUACUAGUAGAUGGACCUGCGUUGUAUUAGCUAGUAGGUAGGGUAAUGGCCUACCUAGGUAACGAUACAUAGCCGACCUGGGAGGGGGAUCGGCCAAACUGGGACUGGGGAACGGCCCCGACUCCUAAGGGAGGCAGCAGUAGGGAAUCUUCGGCAAUGGGGGGAACCCUGACCGAACAACGCCGCGUGAGUGGAGAAGGUUUUCGGAUCGUAAAGCUCUGUUGUUAAGGAAGCGGUACUUAACCAGAAAGGGACGGCUAACUACGUGCCAGCAGCCGCGGUAAUAC